UUAACUAAGCACAACAACAAAUUAAAAAACACAACAUUUCAAAAAACACAACAUUAAUCUACCGAAAAAGGUAGGUACCAGUGGAAGACAUGAGACAUCACUGAUUGGUCGACCGCGCUGUUGGACAGACCAAAGCAAGUUUUGGCACAGUUCUUGUUCCGCCCAUAUCGAGGAUGCAUUGAUGCAUCCUUCUGCGGACUUGGGUAAGCUAGGUUUCCCACAAUACACUCACCAGCACCAGUCAAUGGAGAAGAUCCUUCCCUGUUUACCACAGACUGGCCGAAAACUUUCACCCUUCCAGAUGCUCCUCCUGACUCUAAUGCAUCUGAGGCUGAAUCUUCCCAUCCAGCGUAUGGCACACCUGUUCUGCAUCGACCGAUCAACUGUGUCCACCACGUUCACAAAUACCAUAGAUGUCAUGUUUACACACCUUGCUGCGGGGUAACAUACCACUGAGCAUGGUGCUGCCAUGUGAAGAGGUGGUUUUACUGGACAAAAUUGUGAAGGUGUGCUGUGAUCUGACCUAUAUGUGUCCCGGUAUUGUUUUGAAAGUGUAAACCCUAACAGCUUUGUGAAACUUGUGUUAAGCAGAAAGCAGUGUACCUAGGUUGCCUUAUGUGAAUAAAUGAUGGACAACUUAAA